rnacentral:misc_RNA from 1 species
AAAGUCGUAACAAGGUUUCCGUAGGUGAACCUGCGGAAGGAUCAUUAUCAAUGAUAUUCCAUCAUACACCGUGAACUUUUGGGGGAUGAUAAUCUUAGAUUGUUAGACCCCAAAAAAAAUUUAAACACUAUAAUUUUUAAACAGAGUCAAUUAUGAAAAUAAUUUAGACAACUUUUAGCAACGGAUCUCUAGGUUCUC